CCUACGGGUGGCAGCAGUGAGGAAUAUUGGUCAAUGGACGAGAGUCUGAACCAGCCAAGUAGCGUGAAGGAUGACUGCCCUAUUGGUUGUAAACUUCUUUUAUAUGGGAAUAAAACGUUCCACGUGUGGGAUUUUGUCUGUACCAUAUGAAUAAGGAUCGGCUAACUCCGUGCCAGCAGCCGCGGUAAUACGGAGGAUCCGAGCGUUAUCCGGAUUUAUUGGGUUUAAAGGGAGCGUAGGUGGAUUGUUAAGUCAGUUGUGAAAGUUUGCGGCUCAACCGUAAAAUUGCAGUUGAAACUGGCAGUCUUGAGUACAGUAGAGGUGGGGGGAAUUCGUGGUGUAGCGGUGAAAUGCUUAGAUAUCACGAAGAACUCCGAUUGCGAAGGCAGUUCACUGGACUGCAACUGACACUGAGGCUCGAAAGUGUGGGUAUCAAACAGGAUUAGAUACCCCGGUAGUC
rnacentral:rRNA from 1 species